ACAUGGUCUAGCAUGAUCUAGACUAGUCCAUCAAGGUCGGUGGUACACUGGUACGAGUGAGUAAGUCGGUUAAUCAUCUCUAUAUAUGUCUGCAUGAUGAACUCUUCUAAUAAUUAAUGAAACAAUUAAUCAAAGCUCCUCUAUUAAUAAUCAAAAGCUCCCCCGUUCUCAAUAUAUACAAACCUCUCCUCUGUUUUCCUUUCAUACAACCUACCUCCUCUGUUUUUUAAACUCAACCAUCUUUUAGUCCUAGCCCACUACUACUGAAAGCUUCCGCACCAAAUUACCACAGUGGUAUCAAAGCCACAAAUUCUAACAGAAAACUUCUCAAGUUUGACUAAUUGGUCAAUGAGAGAUUACAUUAGCUUUAUACUUAAAAAAUCAAUAGCUUAGCCAUGCAUUACAGAAAUCCUAGCUAACUGGUUGAGCAUUAAUCUAAGACUUUAAGAUGGCAUCAUGGGCUCUAAUGUCGAUGCCUGGAUGCUUAGAAAUCGGAUAUUGUGGAACUGAAUUAAGUCCGAUUAAUUCCCUUCAUGUCUAGUUUGUCCAUUCUUUUUCUAUUAUGUCAUAAGUCAUAAAUGUCACUCUAAAUUAUCUGAGUCCAGAAUCAAAAUAGUUUAAUUUAACAUCAUGUUUGAUUUUCUUCUUAUUCUUUUCUGUGGUACUUCACCAAAACUUUGUGCCAACAUACAUAUGGAAGUUUCUUAUAUGCAAGUAAAAGUUUGUGUAUUUUAAAGUCUCUCUAAGUUUUCCCUUAUAGUUUGAUAUUUCUUGUACAAUUGACAGGAGAACGAUCUUGGUGAGAUAAAUAAGCUGCUCAAAUAUGAGGUACUUUAAUAUGUUGGUGUAGUUAUAAACAUACAUAUUGUACUUUGGAUAUUGAACUGAAAUCUGAGGUACUUUAAUAUGUUGGUGAGAUAAAUAAGCUGCUCAAAUCUGCUCAUAUCUUUGUGCCAACUCCUCUUCUUUCUUGAUAAUUUUCCUGAUCCACUUCAGCAGUCAAUGUGAAUUAGGUGAGUUCCCUGUAGUGUUCUUUACAAUGUAUGUAAUCUUACUGUGUGAUCGAGUUAACUUCGACUUAUAAAAUACCAAUUACCUUUGGAUUCCCAGGAUGCAUAUGCAACGAAAUAAGCCUCACCUCUCCAGCUAGCAAGUCUUUUCACGCUCAAUUAUAAUUUUUAAGUUGACCUUAAUGCAUAAUAGUGUAACCAUUUUGAAGAUUGUAACACGCCCUUCAAAUAUAAGGAUUGCUCGUACUUUUUACUCUUCAGUUGAAGAUAUGGGCUUUUUACAAACAUUUAUUACCCAGUAUUUGAAAAUCUAUAUUUAGCCCCAUGGGGAUAUCCAAUAAAAAUUUAAUCGAUGGCUUGAUGACUUCUGCAUAACAUGUGUACCAAUCUCACCAACUUAUUAGGUAUACUUCUUCUCUUAUCUCUUAUUUUUUGGAACAGACUGAUGUACCAAAUUUUUGAUACUAACUUGCGCACCAACAUGCAGUAUGAUGAAAUGCCUCUUAUGCUGUUAUUCUUAUGCUUUGUCUGAAUUUGUACAACUCGUCCAGCAUGAACUGUAUAUUCAUACUCUUCAAGUUGGUUCCAACAGCUUCAACUCCAUAUUCAUACUCUACUCAACUGCAUCAGCCGCACUUGGCAAGCUUGAAAACAUACAAGGCAGCUGUACAUUGAAGUGAAAUAUGCUCCACAUACUCUAGUUUAAUGCACAGCUGCUUUUCUGGGAUUCCUGGGUUCCCCUUGUCUGGAUUGUCUUCUCCUUCUUCCUCACCCUCUUUCUUUCUUCCUCUUCUUCGUCUUCUUCAGGACUCAGGAGGAUCUGCUGGCAUUGGAGUCGGUAAAGGUGUUUUCAUGGGGCUAAACUGGGGAAAUAUAUCUGGUCUCCUCCCCAGUUUUGGUCUUUCCUAUUCCUGAAAUGUGAUGUAAAUGCACACAGGUGAGAAAAGACCACUAUAUAGAGUUUCAGUUAAUCUACAUCAUACUUGAGAAAAAUUCCAACAGCCAGUACCUAUGUCUUGUUAUAAAAUUAUGAGUACUUUUUAGCUUCUAUGUCUUUAUUCUUUCCACUCUCAUCCAGCACCAGAGUAAAUAGAAGAACCUUUCUAAAUCCCUACAGGCACAUUUCUUGAAUUGCACAUCCAUGUUGUGUCAUCAUAAAGAUAGUUGCACACACGAUCAAAUAAAUGCUUAUGUGCCGAAAUUAUGGAGCAACCCACAAAGAAUGAUAAAGAAUACGGAUGCCUGCUUAGUGAUCAUAUAACCAGAUGCUCAAUAGCUUGGAAGAGAGAGUGAGAAAGAAGAGAGAUUGGAAGCUAAACUUUGAACAAAUAUCAGAAGAAGAGUUGUUAUGCUAUGAGCAGAGCAGAAAUGGUCCUAAAAGAAACCAUGAACAAAAGCAAGGACUUCUAUGACAAAACUCUUCAAAACCUCAAAAGCUUCUUCUGUGGAGGAUACAAAACUACCCAAAUCCCUUUCCUUGAAUCCUUUCUUUUGUGGGAGUGACC